UUCUGCUAGAGGUUGCGGUUAUUUGGAUUCCACUUAACCAUGCAAGUCACCUGGAUUUAUGUCCGGGGGCGAACCGCCCAGUAACAUGUAGUUAAUCUACCCUAAGAUUGAUGAUAACUUCGGGAAACUGAAGCUAACGAUCAAUAGACGUAAGAGGUUGGAAUACACUUUCGUUGAAACGUAAGGUCUUAGGAUGAGGCUGCACCCGAUUAGGCAUGUUGUUGAGGUAACUACUCAACAAACCGACUAUCGGUAGGGGCUCUUAACGGAGAGGCCCCGGGAAGGACUCUGAGACACUAGUCCUAGCUCUAUGGAGUGCAGCAGGUAGGAAUUUUUUCCAAUGCCCGAAAGGGUGAGAAAGGGAUCCAAAGUGUUCCUCUUAGAGGAACUUUUGCUUACUGUAAAAAGGUAGGAGAAUAAGGACUGGGCAAGACUGGUGCCAGCCGCCGCGGUAAUCCCAGCAGUCCAAAUCGCAGCCGCAUUUAUUAGGUCUAAAACAUUCGUAGCUUGUGAUGAAAGUUUUCUGUGAAAUCGUUGCGCUUAACGUAACGGCGUGCAGGAGAUACUACAUUACUAGAGAUCGGGAGACGUAACGAGUACAAUCGAGGUAGUGGUAAAAUACUUUAAUCUCCAUUGGACUAACAAUGGCGAAGGCACGUUACGAGAACGAUUCUGACGGUGAGGAAUGAAGGCUGGGGGCGCAAAAUGGAUUAGAUACCCAUGUAGUCCCAGCAGUAAACCCUGCUUACUAAACAUUGUGUUCUCUUAGAGAGGAUGCAGUGCUGAAGCGAAGGCGUAGAGUAAGCUACCUGGGGAGUAUAGACGCAAGUCCGAAACUUAAAGAAAUUGGCGGGGGGACACACAAGGAGUGACGCGUGCGGUUCAAUCAGAUUCGACACCGUGAACCUCACCAGGAGCGACAGCAGGAUGAAGGUCAGUCUGAAGGGCUUACCUGACACGCUGAGAGGAGAUGCAUGGCCAACGUAAGCUUGUGCCGUGAGGUGCCCUGUUAAAUCAGGUAACAAGCGAGACCUGUGUGUAUAAUUGCUACUCGGAGAGAGAGCACAUUAUACAGACUGCCAACGUAAGUGGGAGGAAGGUGCAGUCAACGUUAGGUGGUAUGCCCCGAAUCCCCUGGGCUACACGCGCGCGGCAAUGCUACAUGCAAUGAGAUGCAACUCCGAAAGGAGAAGCAAAUCCCUCAAAAUGUAGCUUAGUUCAGAUUGAAGUCUGCAACUCGACUUCAUGACGCUGGAAUUCCUAGUAAUCGGGUGUUAGCAGCGUCCGGUGAAUAAGUCCCUGUUCCUUGCACACACUGCCCAUCAAGCCAACCGAAUUAUGUUUGAAUGAAGUCCGAAAGGAAAGAAUUCAGAUAUGGUAAGGUAGGUUAAGUUGGCACAAGGUA
rnacentral:rRNA from 1 species